AUACCGGUUCCUGUAUGAUCACCAAAGUUAAGCAAUGUUGAGCCUGGUCAGUACCUAAAUGGUUGACUACUGGAGAAUACCAGGUGCUGUAAU